UACGAGGGGAGCAAGCGUUGUUCGGAUUUACUGGGCGUAAAGGGCGCGUAGGCGGUCGUGACAAGUCACUUGUGAAAUCUCCGGGCUUAACUCGGAACGGUCAAGUGAUACUGUCGGACUAGAGUAUAGAAGGGGCAACUGGAAUUCUCGGUGUAGCGGUGAAAUGCGUAGAUAUCGAGAGGAACACCUGCGGCGAAGGCGGGUUGCUGGGCUGAUACUGACGCUGAUGCGCGAAAGCCAGGGGAGCGAACGGG
rnacentral:rRNA from 1 species